AACGCUUGUAGACAUGGUUCCUCUUUCUCUCGCUCUAGCUCAGCGAAGGAACCGAGUGCUUCGGCAGCGUGUCCUGAUUGGUCCACACCUGGUCACAUGACUUCCAAGUGACGUCAAUGGGGAGGCAAUGACGUCGUGCCACCAAACAAAGAUACUUGCUUGAUUAGUACCCAUGAGAAAGACCACAAGCUCUCUUGUUUUGUUGACAGCCUGUACCGUGUGCGGUUGCUGAGACAUGGUGCUCAUAUCCCUGCUGGAUAUACUCUGAUGAUAGACUGCGCAAUCCCACAGAGCCCAGGCUGAGGCAAAAAAGCAGUCCUUACCACGCGGUGUUUGCCUGGCUGUCAUCCUUCCUGCCCAGGAAUGAAUAAGACUUACCAUAUUAUGCAAAAACGAUACCAGCCAGAGCGCCCUAGCACUUUGUCCCGUGGCUGAUUGUGGCACAGGAAGCAGACCACAGGAAGUGUUUUGUUAUGGAUGAAAAGAGGCUAUGGAUUAGAGACUUAAAAAGAAAACUCUUGAUCUACAUGGGUUCCCAGGGUGUGCUCUCUUAUUUCUUUCACCCACUCAAACCUUCCUAAUUCAGCCUUCCCCCUGAAUUGCUGCAUUUACUCAGAAAAGACUUCUGGUUGUUGUUGUUUUUUUUUUUUGUUUUUUUUUGCAACACGUAGUCACAAGCCACAAACAGAAUCACAUGUUGGACGACACACUGAAACAAACAUCUGUUAUGACUCGAUCAGAUCUUUACAGAAAGCUCAGACUAUAUGCCGUGCUUUAUCAACACAAAACAGUCAUCAUAUGAACACGUUCUCAGGGUGCUGUGAAAACAAUGGCACAAGUGAGAAACCGGUAGACAAUUGUAGCGCCUUUAUUCAGUGUUUGCUCUUUACAGGUUUACUGAAACAUCACGACACAAUGGAUUUAUGGGAAUUUACCGUUAAAUUGGAAGAAGACGCUACGUCCUGUAAACAGUUCUGUAUAUCAUUUUCUAUACAUUUAUCGUCAUCACUUUUAUUUAAAGAAGAAGAACAAGAAGGCAAAUCUGAACACGUUUAAAUGAUAAUAAUGAUAAAAAAAAAACCCUAUAGGAGAUAGGACACUUUAGUCCUGUUUGCAUAUGCUUUAAACCAUGUUCAAAUCACCCCAAAACCCCUCACCUUGGAAAAUUCACUCAAAGGUCAGCUGGAUUAAAUUUCACAUCAGAAUAUAGAAACCAGUUGUCCGGUCUGCUCUGUGUUUCAACCAGACGGCUUUGGGCCGUAGAGGAUAAUUCCCAAGCUCCUAAUGUAGGGCACUAGAGGCCAGGUCCAACCCCUUGCCAAUCUGAGCUUCAUCGUUGUCCCAAGUCACAAGACCACCUGUUAAAUUAACUCUCACCAGGAGAGCAAUUUGAGUUAAAUGAUUAAUGCUUCCAUCUUUCUCUAAUCCUGUUGCGUUAAUCCUAACCAUCUCUAUAUUAUAUAGUGAAAACACACACACACACACACACACACACACACACACACACACACACACACACAGCGUGUCAACCCUUUUCGCAACAAAUGGCAUCUGUAUAAAAGAAUAAUUUCUGAUGAAAUAGUUUUAUUUGUGGUCACUUUAUUAGCUUUAGUGUCAAAAAAAUGUAAUUAUACAAUAGUAGCUAGUUAUUUACCACAACAUCCACCAGGAUGUGAUUGGCUGAAAUAAAGGGGAAGAUGAACUUGUAACUGUAAAUAUGGCUCUUCAUACACCAUGCUCCAAGUACCUGCAUCGGUGUGGAUUUUGUGUCAGGGAUCUGUGUACAAACACGUGCCCUGAUGAAGACGCACACUUUUGUUUUAUUGUGCGUGAACAAAAAUGUGCUUCAAAAAAAUAAUUGGGACUCCCAUAACAUAUUGCCAUUCAAGAAAAAUCAGUAUUAAAACUAUGAAUUAUGGAUUAUUACACUGGGUAAUAUCGACUCGUGCAACUCGUUGUCAAGGUGCCUGUGUAGGUGCAGAAUAAGAAUCCACCCCUGAUUUUAGACUAAGGGUGAAACUAUCCAACUUUUGCACAGAUUUCAAAAGGCCACAACUAAAAGUAAUAGCAAAAAUAGUCCUUCUCUAUGAUAUCAUCAUCAUCAUCAUUUACAAACGAUCAGCAGGCUUAUUCCAUAUUUUAUCAGAGACUACGAAAAGGAGUUGUAUUGUACUGUAUCGCAGCAGAUUCAGCGACCAAAUAUUGAAUAUUUGCUCUAUGACAUGAUUGAAGGGAAGCUUAAGGUUUACACACUGUUCCUUACUUUGGAACAUAAUCUAUAUACAGCGAUGUGUGAGGAAGAAGUAUUUCAGCAGACUAAACAGAGUACUAAAAGAGUCAAAAUAUUAGUUUAUUGACUCUUGUUUUCUAAACAUGAACCUACUUGGCUUCUAAAUGGUUUACUCAAGAACACUCAUAUUUGGUCCUUCCUCAAAUUUGUUCCCACACAGUUGGAAGAACAUUAAUGUAUCUCAUGCCUUUGUAAGAUGCAGAAGUUCCCUUUAGUAGAACUAGGAGGACUAAACCUGAUGACAAUGCUCCUGUGCACUAAACGAGCUCUAUGAAGAUUUGGUGUGUUAAAGUUGGAGUGGAAGAACUCAAGUGACAAUGACCUCAACCCCACUGAGCACUUUAAAUAAAUCUGAACACCGACUGCACCCCAGGGCUUCUUGAUGUCAAUAACACUCUUGUGGCUGAAUAAACAACAAAUCCCUACAGCCGUGCUCCAAAAUCUAGUGGAAAGCCUUCCCAGAAGAGUGGAGGUUAUUAUUAGGGAUGCAAAAUUCCAGGGAUUUUCAAGACUAAAACUUUCAAUGGGAAUUAACAGGAACAAAUAGUAAACUGACCAAAUUGCACUUUAGCCUGUAACAGAGAACACAUUCAAUGCAAUUUCCGUUGAAUUUCUACCCUGGACAUGCACUGUGCAUUCCUCCAUAACAUAAACACAGAUAAUUUCUUGAAUCCUGCUCACAAUAUAAUGUCAAAAUAUUUGGCGAGAAUUCAUGUGAAUUACAUGUUUAAAACUUCCUUGUUCUGUGUGUAAGUUAUUGCGCAACAAAAUUACACAAUUGUAAAAACAAAAAAAACAAAUGCAUCACAUCCCUUUAAGGAAGUUUUGAUAUUACUUGGGGAAUAUAUUUUAUUUAUGGUAUUAAAAUCUAACCAGCAAAUACCAAAAUAUCUUUAUACAGUAGCUAGGCAGUAAAUCAGAUUUGCUAAAUAUAAGCUGGCACGAUUUCAUUGACAAUUUGUGAGGCUAGCUCAAUCUGUGAUGCUCUUUCUUCUACCUUCUGUAUGCCUGGUUUCUGUUAUCAUACAGUAGUACAGUAAUGGCAAAACUUUGGACACAUGACUAUUUUUUUACUGUUUUUGUAAGAAGUCUCUAAAUGCUCAAUAAGCCUGCAUUUAUUUAGUCGAAAAUACAGAACAAAACCUUAAUAUUGUGAUAUAUAUAUUUAGAAUUUGACUACUUACAAUUAAAUCAAAGUGAAAUUAAAAUUUAAAAAAUCUGUAUUAGUUUGCAUACGUCAGCUUAUGACCAAACAAAAUGUUUAUUUUUUUAGUUUGUAUAUGAUACAGUUUAUAUACUAGUUUUCCAUAAAUUUCCACAAAUUCUGGCAAGUUUCCAACUUGCAAUAUUUCCAAAACUCCUCAUGUAAAUAUCCCGGAAAGAAAUUUACCUAGAAUUUUCUAAUUAUGGAACGUGAUGUUAAACUUGCACGUUUAGAUGUAUUACGCUAUGGUCGCAUACCACAGAAAGUGAGGCGUCUACAAAUUCUUUUUACAUGUAGCGCCUGUGUACAUUUUUUUGCUUAAGGCAGCUUGUCAAACCAGAAAUAAGAUACUGACAAUUCAGAUUUUCAUAGAUAUGAUGUUUAUUUCCUUAUAAGCUUCUGAAUAACUGGAUGUUCAGCUUCAGGUUUAAAAGAUAAAUAUACAAAAAAGUUAUUUAAAUAUUCAGAACUAACGCAUCUCAUUUGUUCUUAGUCUGUGUCACUGUUCGAGGCUGGGCAAUAGAAUGAUAUACGAGAAAUGAACCUACAGAUAGUAUCCUGAUAUUCUUUUAAAAUAUUAUUUAUUAAUAAUUACAAACUCUGAUUAAAGAAGCUGUGAAGCUUUGUGCUGUUUUAAAUGAUUUAGAAACGAACUAAACUAUGAGUUUGAAGAAUUUCUACAUUUUCCUCAAAAAACGAAUUUUAAAAUGGUAGAAAUUCGUGACUUUUGUUUUAAUUUCGACAUCUCUGUUGUCCUUGUUUCCAAAUGCUAUUCUAGUGUCUUGAGGAUAGAUUUUUUUAAAUAAAUACUGGUAUACAUAUCGUGUAUCAGAAAUACCUUUAUAUAGUUUUCCUCAUACACAUACUUUGAGGUGUAUUAUUAAUAGGCAUAAUAGAUAGGUUUUAAAAAAGUCAUUGCUGUCACCAUUCGGCUUAUCCAGAAUUAAGCAAGAAAUAUUCUAUAUCUGGUCCUUUACAAAUGUAAGGUUAUACAGUACACAAUGGCACAAGAAGGAAUGUGUAGUGCGCGUUGAAAGUUAUCCUAUGUUUGCACACACACACACACACACACACACACACACACCGUAUGUUUAAGUGCUGGCCAUGAGCAGUGUUUUCAAAGGUGCGUACAUAUGUUCUAGUGUUACAUUCUUACAUAAACUCUCGUAAAGUGGCGUCCCUAUUAACUGCACGAGCAUCGCACGAUGCUUUGACAAUUUCAGAGCAAAGGUCAAGGCUGUUUGAAAGGAGCUGAGGGAAACGACGUUAUCACUGAUAAUGCAUAGCGUGGAGGAAAAACAUCUCAAUAAUCAAAAUCCAACAGUGAUUAAAAGUCUAGCUUGUAGCGACUUUGUUGAUAGCUUGUGCAUAUCAAGGCUCUGCGUUUUGGUUGAAGACGAGAUGGUCGGGUUUAAAAAGCGAGGUACGCAGGACGACACUGGGAAGUUGCAAUUAAUUCGUAGAAAAGGAGUGUUACACGCUUAGCACACAGACACCCGAGUCAACAAAUACAUGAGCGUGAGCAUGACACGCUGUUCAUACCUGGAACACAGGAUUAUUAUACAGCAUUUACAGACAAACUGGUUUUGAACCCAACGCGGAAUCAGAACUCGCUGUCGUUUCAUUAAGUAAAAAAAGUUUAGUCUUAUGCUACGACCUUAUUAGUGCAACGAAACAAACCACAAAGCAGUCGAGCGUGUAUGACCUGCGUCCAUUAUAAAAACACCGAAAACAAACUCUGCCCCAAAUGUUUGUUUAAAUGUUGUAGCCGUUUCUAUCGCUGGGCAGUCGAAUGUAUGCUUACGAGCUUCUCUAGAAGUGUGUACCGAUUAGAAUAGACAGCAGCAGCUGUGACGCGCACACAACAAAUGGGGUCACGCCGGAUGCCAAAACGGUCUGCAGUGACUGGAAAGCCAGUUCAAAGGUCACCCUCAAAACACACACACACACACACACACACACACACACACACAGCGGCUUUAAUCAGAGCGAGCGCAAUCGUCUAGUACGAUUUUAUCAAUACAAAAAAAAAAAAAAGUUCCUACUACCGGUUAUAUACGUGUAUCAUGCCUAAGCCCUAAUUAUUACAUGGAAUUAACUCUUUGAGGUACAGUGUUUAUAAUAAAACGGCAAUAAUGCUAUAGAAACAAUCUCCACCUUCCUAAAUAUGCACACUUUUUUUCUCCCAAAUACUUUUCAUUCUAGAUAAUGAAGUCUUGUGUUUUCUAUUCUAAAGCCAUGUUUAAUACGGGCUAAAAAUACACCACUGUUCCCAUCAUUCUUCUCCUGACAGUCCAAAGCAGUUCCCAUCAACAGUGUAAUCCAAGUGUAAGACAAUUCAUAAAUGAUAAAAUAAAAAAAUGAGAGGAAAAAAAAAUACAGUCAAGCUACCAAACACCCCCCCCCCCCUCCCCCUCCAAAUCUAUCAGUAUUAUUGUUAGCUUAAAAGGCAGUAGCAGCAAGCAACAACCCGUGGAUCUCUCUAAAAACACAAUAUUAACAGUUACAAAAGGUAGCUUACCUGCUACAUAUCAAAAUGACAUCCCUUUGAGU